rnacentral:rRNA from 1 species
AACCGCGGUUACACGAAGUGGCCCAAAUUGAUAUACACGGCGUAAAGGGUGAUUAGAAAGUAAGAAACUAAAGCCGAACCUCUUUUAGGCCGUUGAAAGCUAAGAAGAAGGGAAGUCCAAGCACGAAAGUAGCUUUAAUAUUUUUGAACUCACGAGAAUUAAGACA